rnacentral:rRNA from 1 species
GCUGGCGGCGCGCUUAAACAUGCAAGUCGCACGAGAAAGUGGAGCAAUCCAUGAGUACAGUGGCGUACGGGUGAGUAACACGUGGAUAAUCUGCCCUUUAGUGGGGAAUAACCCUGGGAAACCGGGGCUAAUACCGCAUAAGCCUGAGAAGGGAAAGCAGCAAUGCGCUGAAGGAGGAGUCCGCGGCCGAUUAGCUAGUUGGUAGGGUAAUGGCCUACCAAGGCAAUGAUCGGUAGCCGGCCUGAGAGGGCACACGGCCACACUGGCACUGAAACACGGGCCAGACUCCUACGGGAGGCAGCAGUGGGGAAUCUUGCACAAUGGAGGAAACUCUGAUGCAGCGACGCCGCGUGAGCGAUGAAGCCCUUCGGGGUGUAAAGCUCUUUCGACGGGAACGAUAAUGACGGUACCCGGAGAAGAAGCUGCGGCUAACUACGUGCCAGCAGCCGCGGUAAUACGUAGGCAGCAAGCGUUGUUCGGAAUUACUGGGCGUAAAGAGUGUGUAGGCGGUUCUCUAAGUUCGGUGUGAAAUCUCCCGGCUCAACUGGGAGGGUGCGCCGGAAACUGGAGGGCU